AAAAAAAAAACACAACUCAAACCCUAAAAACAUUAAAAAUUUUAAAUCAUAAAAUCCUUCUACCCAAUCUGAACUCUGCAUGUUAUGAUUGACAGUUUCCAAGGCUAAAUCAAUCCUUGAUCCGUAUUCACCAUCAUAAACGAUGUCGGCGGUGUUAUUGUCGUAGAUUGCUCUCUGUUGAUGUCGAGUGAACGAACCAUGGUUCCACUACAUAAUUGUUGAGCACCGAGAAGAAGGUGAUCUCAACAUGUAAUCAUUGGUAAGAGCGAGAAAUCCAUCCCUUUUUUUAUGAAUCAUUUCCCUCUUCUUUCUCUUUUGUUCUUCAUUUGUGGGUUAUUUUUCGUUGAGCUCUCACUUGAAUCCAUUACUGAGUUCGGCAACAAUUGUCCUCCCACUAUUGUUGUACACAUGUUGUUCCUUGUAGCUCAAUGAAGCUAGGCAUAUAACCCGUGCGUUGUAGAGAUUUCAAUAGAGUUAUGUAACUUUUUUUAGAAGUUAAACAUUAUGUCAGUGUUUUUUCAAGAAGAAUUUUAAUUAGUUUACAAUGAAGUUAGCUAAAUAUUAAUAAGGAAAAAUAUGUCAUUUAUAUUGGUCUUGAUAUGAGAGCAAUAAGCACAAAGAGGCUUUGUCAUACCCCAAAUUUUGACCUAAGGUCCCACUGACACACGUCUCUGAACUCGGACCAGACUCACAUUUCAGUGAAAAACUCGGCAGGGAGGUAUUUUGAAAUACCUCAUAAAGUUCCGAAUCGGACCUGUUAUACCCUGUUUUUGGACCUAAAAAUACUGGGCCCAAUUUCAUUUCAAACUUUGUCAAUUAUCAAAUUUCAACUGCACAGUUCAAAUUGUCUCUGCCUCGCAGUAUUUUCAAUCACAAUUUUACCUAUGUUUUUCUUGCAUAAAAUCUUUCGAAAUGUCUUUACUUGUCUUGUAAGUCAUUCAAAAGUGUCUCUGAAUCAUUACAUUGCUUUUUCUACAGUUUAUUUCAAAAUUUGCAAAAAGUCAUACAGAAGGGUAUUUUGGUCAUUUCCUGCAGUGGGACCCAUUUUCAUCCUUGUGACUGUCUCUGAGCCUUUUCAGAUUGAUUUUUAACGUUUCAUCAGUAAGCCUUGUUAAAUUCAUUUCAAACUUGCAUCUGAGUCAGUGUCAAGUCAAUUUGAAUCUGUUUAGGUCAAUUUUAGCCCUAGGGGCAUUUUGGUCAUUUCACACAAAAUUUUGGCAUAGAGAGGUUACUUUGAAGUACCUCAUUUAAGCCAUUGGUUCGUUUUAGUCCGUUUUGUCAAUUUUAUUUUUGUUUCGCUUUACGUUUUGUCAAGUUACCAAUUUUAUUUCAAUUUUAUUUUUAUUUUUGCAUUUUGGUCCUCGAAGAGGUCCAAAAUUGCAUUCCAGUCCAGUUUUCUUUCCAAUUUACAUUUCAGUCCUUUUUGGUUAAUUGCAGUUUAGUCCUUAAAGUUCUUAUUUUUGCAGAAAGGUCCAAAUUUCAUUUUUUGUCCAAAGCCGUGCCAUUUUUUUUUUCAAGUCCAGGUGUCCUUUUCUCAUUGGUUCAGAAGCACACAUGUCAAGCUAUAAAAGGUGUACAGUGUCACGCAGAGCCAUCAAUCACACGCCAACUCAUAAACACAAAUCCAAUUUUCUCUCUCUGGGCUAUUGAAUCAAAACAGAAAAUCUCUCAAAAUUUCUCAAGAACACCAAGAACAAAAACCCUAACCGUUUUCCAGAAACUCAAAAAGUUCAUCAGAAUCAAUAAUUUUUGGAUCAAUUCUCAGAGAUUCUGUGGAAUCUUCAUCAUCGAAUUGAUCAUUUCUCUGCAAUUCAAAACGCGAGCUCGCAUUGAAGCAAGCUCAAGCGUUGAUCACAGAGGGGAGAUCAGAAGAGGGAAAGAAGCAAGGUUUACACCGGCGAAGAAGAUGAAGAAGCAGAAUCAGUGAAAUCACCGGUUUAUUUUCGGUCCAGCAACCAAAUCAACAACACAGAAAACGAAGAAUCGAGUGUUUCCGAAGAAAUUCAACAGAAUCUCCAAUCAAAAACUUCAGGUAAAACUCAGAACAGAAUUUCUUUUCAAAAAAUAAUAUCAUAGCUUAAACCUGUAAAAAUCACGCAAGCAAACAGAUCUAAAAUUUCCAGAAUUCAAAGAUAAAACCGUAACCGUAAACACAAAACCUAGAUCCAUAAGGAUCUAAGUUUUGAAAGCAAGAACAAGCAUCAAAGAAGUAAUAAACGACGAAACGAUGUAGAUCUUCAAGGAUCUAAACGCUUUAUUUCAAAAAGAUCAAAAAAGAUCAAUUUCAAAACCGUACGAAAUUUUCAGAUCUACGUCGUUUCAAGCUGUGUUUGAGAAAAUAAUUGCUGGAUUCGUGUUUAGGGUUAAAGGACGAAUCAAAAGAUGUGAAAAUCUUUAAGUUCUGGAAAUUUCAGGUCACCGGAGGUGCUAGGUCUCGCCGGAGAAGAUGAAGUUUUCGGCGGACCUUCAAGGUCUCCGCCGUAGCUUCAUCCUCACCGGCGGUGAGGUUCUAGAGAGAGGUGAGAGAUGAGAGAAGAGAGAAGAGUUUAGAGAGAGAAAGGAGUGUAAAGAAUGAAAAAACCGGUGCUGAUGUACUUAUAUAGCCAGUGAACCGGACCGGUCCAGGACCGGUCCAAUCUCCUUCAUCCCUGGCCGUUGGAUCUAGGGUUUCCUACCCUGGAUCAAUCCAACGUCUCCUGUGCAAUCUGAGUUUUGUGUGUUGGGCUUUGGGUUGGGCUUAGGUUUCUUUUACGUUUUUGUUUAUUUUCCUGCUAUUUGCACCAUAUUUCUUUGCUGUUUGAACCCCUGCAUGCUUAAAUUUUCUCUAAAAAAUCUCCAAAAAUUAUCACAUGUUUCUUGAUAUAUUUUCAUGUCUUUUUUAUAUUUCUCAAUGGUUUAAAAAUGGUAAAAAAAAGCAUGUGAUAUUUCUUGGUUAAUUAGUGUGUUUAGACAUAAACUUGUGCAUUUUUUAGUAGCAUAUCCCUCAUGAAUUGUUGGCAUGUGAUUUGAACUUUUGGAAUGCAAUUUUGUGAUAAAUUUGUUGCUGAUUACAUGUUUGAUUCGCUGCUUGUAUGUCUCAAUUUCAUCUCCCUUCUUGGCUUGCAAUUAGUAUGCAUUUUUGCUAGUAAAUAAAGUGCCACAAUAUUUUGAAAGUGUGCUAUAAACUUUAGCAUCAAAUAUGUCCCAUUUUUUUUCACAUUAUGGCACAAAACAAGACUUCUAAAAAUGCCAUAAUGAAGGGAUUAUGGGUCAUAUCUAUGCUAGAGCCUUAUGACCAUUCUCAUGCACAUUUUGUCACUUUAUUAGUUUCUUUUAUGUCUUUCCUCUUAAUAAUUUUUUUUUUGUGCACUUCUUUUAUUCUAUGCUUUAUUUUACUAACUAUUUCAUCUCAUGUGACACACAUUUCAUAGCAUUUCACUACCUCCUCCACUUCCUUUAGCUUAGCAUUUAUUUUUGCAAGUUUUAAUCCAUUUGGUGAUGUAAUUUGUUAUCAUUGGUUUGUAGCUUGGCAAAGGGGCCGUAGAAUGUAUUUAGGCAAUUUUUGUAAUAUGGACUAUGGACACUAUGGCGCACCGGCACGCACACACUCACCCUAGAUGUAUGCCUAGGAUUGCAUGUGUAGAUGUAUGGCUAGGAUUGCAUGGUUAGAUGAAUGCUUAGGUUUAAACACUUAGAGAAAAUCCAACUUUUUUCCAAAAAAUAUGCAAACAAACUCGCUUCAAAUAUUUUUCAUAAAAAUGGAGUCAAAACUCCAACAACUUUUCACCUUUUAUUUUCUUAAUAAAAUUCUCAAAUAAAUCUAAUCAUUUAGACUUUUUUGCAAAAUCACUAAACAAACCCCCACUUUUUCAUACUCUAAUGCUCAUGAAGCCUCUCAAUCCCCUUCUUCAAAAUCAUUUUCAAAAUUUAAAAUCAAACAAUUAAAACAAAAAAACAACAAGUCUUUUUAGCAAGAACUACGCCGGUUUUGAUCCCGUAAAACGGUACGUAGGCAAGGGACUUUAACCCCUCCAAGCCGAAAUAAAAUCAAAUCCUACUUCUUCUCACCCCCAUUCUUCACUCAAAUAAAACUUCUUUUCUUUCAAUAAGUAGGCAAUAAAAAUAAAGCGUAGAAAUCAACUUAGGAGAGCGGCUCUUAUGGAGUACCAUAAUCGCUCCGGGUGCCUAACACCUUCCCGUAGCGAAAACGACCCCCGAACUUAGAAUCUAAGGGUUUUUCUCAAUUUUGCCCUUCCCAAGAAAAAAGAGAGAUAUCAACGGUCAAAAGGUUCAAGUCCAAUUAAUGGCUUGGCACCCAAAAACCAUGAUAACAGGACCUCCUUCUCUUAGUCCUCAAUCAUUUAUUUCCAUCUUUUAUUUUCUUUUUUUUAUUUUUUAUUAAUUAACUUUAAUUUCGUUUUAAAUCUUUUUUAUUUUAUCUAAUCAUUUAGUCCCCAUCUUUUUAUUUUAUUGUUUAUUUAUUUUUUUCUUUUGUCCAUAAGUCGGUCCAAGUUCACACGCAUCGAUCCAAACUCCCUGUCUCACGCGUUUCAAUCAGGCUUUUCAAUCCAAAGAACAUAAAGCUUCUCAUCAUCCAAAUCCUAUUCCAACCCAAUCCAGCUUUCACCAACUGCAGAAACUCAGGAACAGAAUCACACUCCUCUCUCCAUCCCAAUCACCUAAAUUCUGCGGAUUUUUAACAAACCCUAGCCUCAGCCCAGCACUAUAAAUAUAGAGCCUGCACAACGCAAGAAUCACACAACAGAAGGAGGGGAAACGCACAGAGAAAGCAAACGCGUACAAGAAAGCAGAAUCACACAUCAAGUAGCCGGAGUCCAACCGACCGCGCCUUACAACAUCAAAACCGUGACACAACAGCACCGGCAGCCGUUUCCAACAUCAAGGAGACCGUGAAACGCUUCAAUACAGGCCGAUUCAACACCGUUCAAAAAAAUCCGAAUUAAAAAGGUAUAAAAAAUUUCUUCCCUUUUUAGAUCUAGGUUGAACCGUGCCUGUUUUGAAAGUUUCAGACAUAAAAUUGGAACCAGAAGAAGGAAUAGAGUAGGUUUAGAGAAAAAAAAAAUAAAAAAAUAUAAGUUUAGGGUUCUGGCACGGUGGCGCCGCCGCACCGGCCGGCCAACCGCCGCCGGAACCCACCUUACCUCCGUCGGUGAAGAUGAAGUUCCACCGGAAACUUCAUAAGCAACCCAGAAUUGAAGAACAUUCAUGAGGGAGAGAUGAGAGAAAUCUAGAGAGAAGAGAGAGGUUUUGAAUGCUAGAGAGAGAAACAACAUGUUAAAAUGAAAAAACCAGCCACUGCCUAUAUAUAUCUAGGCUGAACCGUUUCAGCCAUUGAACCGAACCGGACCAAAACCGUUUCCCUUUAAGCCCAUGCGCCCGCUGCACCCAGUAGGCCCAAUUCUCUUUCUGCUUGCUAUUCUGCACACCCUUGAAUACUGCUGCACCCCACCUUGUGAUUGAACCCAUUUUAUUUUAAAUUCUGCAUGCAUUUUAGAAUUAAUUAUGUCAUUUAUUUCACAGCAAGGAUAUGAGAAUGUAUAUAUAGGUUUAAUGUAAAUUAUUUAUUUUUUCGUCAUUUACUUUUCGCAGACCAUAGCAUGUAUCUAGGUUUUAAUGUAAAUCAUGCAUGUGUGCGUGUGUGGGUGAAUGCUCUACUUUUCUGCUUAGGUUAUUACGUUUUAUUUUCUUGCUCCGUUAGUUUAGCAAUUAUUCAAAAACAACGAAAACAUGCAAAUAACAAAAAUCACAAAAAAAACAUUUUUCAUAAUAAACCUUGAUCCAAAUCAAGUGAUCGUCUUUUAUUUUAUUUCUUUCAUAAAUCAAAAUUGCAAUCAACUUUAAAUCUACUUUAAGUCAUUUUCUUUUAAACCUAAAAAAUACAAACCAAUUCUUAUUUGCCACUUGGCUUUUCAAUUUAAAACCUUUUUCAAAACUAAUAAAAAACACACCACCAAUCAAACGUCAAUUUCUAUCCCGAACUACGAGGUUUUGAUCCUUCACGGGUACGUAGGCAGAGGACACUCGUCCUUCCAAACAAUAAAAAAUGUAGAUAAUUAGGUCUUUAUAUUUCCACUUUAAUUCCUUCUUUUCAAAAUAAGCAAGCAAGUUAUAGCACAAAAAAGUAAAUAAAACCAAGAGGUUCCCGUAGAGUACUACGGACAUAAAAGGUGCUAAUACCUUCCCUUUGUGUAACUAACCCCCGAACCCUAAAUCUUUUCAAAUAGGGGUAGUUUGAACUUUUUUCCCCUUUUUUUAAAAAAAAUUAAAUGUUCAGUCGUGAAAUAAUUAGUGAGUCAAAAGCUAAUCAAAUAGCCUUGAUCUCCAAAAAAUGACGCGACAGGCUUGAAUAUUAUUUAUUUUUUAGUACAAAGGAUGGCCAUUGCCCAAUUAUUUUUUUAAUCUUUCUUAUUUAACUAAUUUUGUAAAGGAUAAAACAUAUUAAGAAGUGUUACUUGAAAUUACUUUUGUUAUUAUAGUUAUUAGAUAGAAUAAGAAAGAGUGAGAGGUUAUAAGAUAUGAGAAGAUUUUUUUAUAUGUGAGAAUGUUUUUUGAAAAAGGAAUUACACUUGAUGAUCAUUAAAACCCACUUUCAAAUUCAUCCAAGAGUUGUAUUAGGUAAUAGAGUUUUUGUUGGCUACUAUAUUAGAUAGAAUAAUAGUCGUGAAACUUGUUUAGAUCUUACACAUUAUGACAAUAUUUUCUGAAGAACAACCAAAUUUAGUUUACAAAGAAUUUAGCUAAAUACUAAUAAAAAAAUGUGCAACAUAUAUUGGUCUUGAUAUGAGAACGAUAAGCUCAAAAAACCUUCGAUAUUAAUUUUUUUAAUCUUUUUUUUAUAUCCUUUUUUUAAUCUAUUCAUUUACUCUUAUUAAAUUAAUUUAAUGAAUGGUAAAUAAUAACAACAAAUUUAUUAAAAAAGGAUGAUAAGUUUUGUCACUUAAAAUUGCUUUCAUUCUCAUAAUUAUUAGAUAGAUAUAUUAGAUAGAAUAAGAAAGGGUGAGAAGUUAUACUAUAUUUUAAGAAUAUAUUUUUAGAGGUGACACAUAUGCAUAAUUAUAACUUCAGAAUAAUGAAUGACUCAAGUUUAGUUUAUGGGAAGGUCUUAGAGGUGCCACAUCAACAUCAUCACAAUUUUGCACCCAAAUUUACUCUCAAUUUUAAGAAACUCAAUUGAUGGAAAGUAUGAAUGUCAAUCAAUUCCAUGGUCAAGGGUUAAAUUUCCAUGUUGCCGCGUUCAAAUCAUCAAAACAUGACUUUGUCUCUCUAAUUUCAGAAAGAUCAAGAGCGUUCCAUUAGAGUUUGAGUAGAUAUGUGCUUCUACGGUUAGUUACCGAGGCAUUGAUGCUUAUUUUUUUUUGAAAGAAUGCAUUCAUGCUAAUAACUCUUUUAAGAAACUAUUCAAUUAAAAACAUAACACACGGGCUUGGAAUGAAAAUGAAUAAAAAAUAUUACUUUUUUAAUGCAUUUUUAAUAUGUUCCCUUUCACUUCUUUAUUAGACUCUUGAUCUUAUAACAAUGUUAAAUAAAAAAUAAAAACUUUAAUUUCAAUGAAAACAGCCACCUUUUCAUAUAUGAAGUGCACUCUCAACAAAACCCUCCAUUUUCUCAAAACUUACGUAUGUGAAAUCAAAGAAAGGAUAUUCAUUAGAGAAAACAAAAAAUUAUAGAAAUAUACUGUUGGAACAUGUGUGGAAAUUGAGUUAAAAAGACUAAACACAAAUUCCCAUGUUGGGUAGAACUAGUGUUGUGUGAAUUGAAAAAAGUGGAAAUCCCACAUCGGAUGGAACACACACAUUAGUAGUGUUUAUAUAGUGGGGGUGUACCUCUAAGAGGUACAUAGUUAUGUGAACGAAGUAAGCACUAGAGAAAAAAUAUAUUGUUAUAUAUUUUAUUAUAUGGAAAUGAUAAAUUAAAUAAUUAAUUUAAUCAUUAUUAGAAAGUGUUUUCUUAGUCCCCAAGUUUUGCUAAAAAUAUUUUGGAACGCAAUCUAGAAUAUUUUUGGAAUACAAUCUGAAAUAUUUUGGUAAGCAAUCUAAUAUAUUUUAGUGCAUAAUCUGAAAUAUAUUUUGAUAGUCAAUAAUAUAUUUCUGUAGUCAAUAAUAUAUUCAUGUAUUGAAUAAUAUAAUUUGAGACUCAAUUUGAGAUAUUUUUGUACUAGAUCUAAUAUGAGAAUUACUUGCUCCUAAAGUUUCUCACUUAUUAGUUGUGAACUUUCUCUAUAAAUAGAGAGCUCACACAGUGCAUUCCACACACCGAAAUUCACAGUUGAUGCUUCCUGUGUUUUUUCCUCUCUUCUCCCUCCUUCGACUUGUGUUGACAAGUUCUUCUCCUUUUUCUACUCCUUUCUGUCCCUUCGGAAUUAAGAGUGUUCUUAAGACCAUAGUCCCUUUUCGGUUUAAUGUCCAUUCGGAAUUAAGAAUGGUCUUAAGAGCAUAGUCCCUUCGAUAAUUCAUUCUCUUUGGAAUAAAUAAUGUUUUAAGAUCAUAGUCCCUUUUCGGUAUAAUAAGAAUGAUCUUAAACAUAUAUAUUCUUCUUCAACUCAUGGAGAAGUUAGAUGUUAGAAUGGUCGUAGCACCAUAUUUGAGUGGUUGAAAUGCCUAUUGAUAUUUGGAGAAGUUAAAAAAUUAGAAUGGUGGUAACACCAUAUUUGAGUGGUCUCAACACCAUAACAGAGUGGUAACAAUACCAUAUUAAAGUGGUUUCAGUAUUAUAGAGUGGUCUUAGUACCAUAUUUGGAGGUGUAAUUCUCGAACGGUUUUCUACAGUGCAGUAGUUAAUCGAACAGUUGUAGCUGGGCUUGUUUUAUCCUGGAGGCGGCGUGGUUGAUAGUCUGCCUUGCACAAUUUUGGGCAGUGCCACGAAACGUCUUAAAGAGAGCGACCUGGUCGUGACUCAACCUAGUAACAACUUCGGUAGAUAAUAGAAUUUGGAAAUCCAAAUACAACUGUUUGGAAAUCCAAAAACAACAUAUACAUAUACGAAGCUUGAACAGAAAAUCAGAACUAUCAAAAAAUGAAAUGGAAGAAGAAAAUGAGAAGCUUUGUAGUAAACUUGUGUGUGUAAGAGGAUAGAAUAAAAAUAUAUUAUAAUGCAUUCAUUGCACAACUUGCAUGAAGUGAAGUAAAUGCAGUGCUUUUGCAAAAAGAAAAUAAAUAUAGACAUAAGCAAUUAUCAUUACAUUUCAUAACGUUUCAUUAACUAAUCAAAAUAACUUUUUAGUUUUUUUAAUUUUUUCUUCUUCAGAAAUAUAAACUAUUUGGUCAACCUAAAAGUAACUUGAGUCUCUAUUAAGUCAUAAAACCAAUGAAUAGCCAAGAGAUGAUAAGUAAGAAAUAGAAAAGAAAUAUAAUACCAAAUUGAAAGGUACCAUCCAAUAUUUUCUUAGAAAAAUUAAUGAUGAACAACCAUUUUUUAUAAACUUCUUCAUGAGUAACAAUAGUGCAACAAAAUAAAAAAUAGAAUAAUUAUCUAUCCUAUUUUUCUAAUGCACAUAAAAAUUUUCCACAUACACAUUAAGGAAUAAAAGAAAAUAUAAAAGAAAGUCGGAAAAAUAGACUAACAAACAUCAUAUAAAAAAAAUAGAGCUUAAAUAUUUGACCAAUCUAAAAGUAAUUUGACUCCCUAUCAUGCCAAAGAAAAAAUUAAUAGUCAAGAGAUGAAAAGUUAAAAUGAGUGGAAAAAACAGUAAGACAAUAUUGAAGAUGAACUAACCAAUUGUUGCUUGAAUGUGGUGAUGAACAAAACCCAAAAUUUGGUGCACAAAAUCACAUAUUUAUAUACACAAUGUUUCUCAAUGACAUGAUAGUAAAAAACAUGAUAUAAGAUUAGAACAUUUAGAUAGCAUGGUAGAGGAAAAGUGUAGAAAGAUGGUUUGGUGUUAUUGACAUCAAUAGUAGACAUGGUGGAAUGGUUUGGUGUUAUUGACAUCAAUAGUAGACAUGGUGGAAAAGUAAGAAAAAAUGAGGUAAAUGAUAAAAUUGAUCAUCAAAUAUUACAGAAUGAGCAGAAAAGGAAUGAGCAGAAAAGGAAAAGGAAUAUUUGUUAUCAUAUAGGUGAAAGGGAAAAAGGGAAAUAUGGAUGAGCUAAAAUGUAACAUCUUUUUAACCUUUAUGUGGAAGAAUGUAAACAGACAAAUUCAAUGGUGAUGGUGUAAAUAUUAUAACAAAUAAUCAAUGUUUUUAAAAAAUAGUAGUUGAAGGGGUUAUAAGAAUGAAGGAUGUAAAAGUUCUGUUUUUUUUUUUAAUUAAAAUAAUAAUGUUCAGUUACAUUUGGUUAACAUUAAUGUGUAUAUUCCUAUUAAAAAUAAUAAUGUUCUUUCUUAUUAAGAUUGCAAUUGAUUAUUGUAACUCUUUUUAUUUUUAUCAAAACUAUGAUGUAUAAUGGAUUGAGGAAGUGACACAUAAGCAAAGUAGAAGAAUGAUCAAGAAUAAAAGUUAAAAAGAGGGUCAUUGGUGAGGU
rnacentral:lncRNA from 1 species